rnacentral:rRNA from 1 species
AGUUCUAUUUCAACCUCCCUAGUAGAACACUUCUCUCUUCUCUUCACCUUCCCGUUUUCUCGUUUUGACCGUCUAGUCUCCUCCCCUAGUUUAGGGAUCGCCGUUGGUAGCUAGGGGAAACCCGGACCGAUGUAUAGGGAGAGGGGGUUGGAAGAAGAGGUGGAGACCGGCAGCGGCGCCGGUCCGGCCGUACCGCCGCGCGGUGGAUCAUGGAGGUGGGUGAGGUGUUGCGACGUCGUGGAGGUGGGCGCGAUGGCGUUGGGUAGGUAGGUGGUCCGCGGUAGUGUAGGUCGGUGGUAGUGGAGCGCGCGGGAUGUUCUGAUCUCCAGCACCAACAAACCACGGGGCGCGCUAAGAGGUGGAGAGAAGAAGUUGGACGACGACAAGCGGGAGUUGGGAGAGACGACGAAGAGAGUGGGCCUACGGGGACGACGAGGAAGAGGGUGCAGAACGACGACGAAGAGAAGAGACUGGGGGUAACGACAACGGAAAAGGAGACUUGGGGAUGGCGACUAGGAAAAGGAGUUGAGAGAGACGACGAGGAGAGUGCGCCAGUGCGGGGACGACGAUGAGGAGAGUUUCGGGGGUGCGACGACGAGGAAAAUAAAUGGAGGAUAAGACGCGAAGAAGAGACUUGGGUUUGACCACUGCGAGGAGAAGAGAGAAAUGAAAAACGUUUAAAGACUUUGAACAUCCACUUGGAACACAUAACAAGAUUUGUGGAUUAAAGAGAUUUUAAUUCUAUACAUUAUGAAACAUUCCAAGUCUAAAAUUCUCAUGAACGUUGGACGACAAAUAAAACAAAGCAUGAACAUUGAUAUUACAUGUUAAUUAUAAACCAGAUACACUAAAAAGAAAGACUCAAUCAUUAGACGAUCGUACACAAACACAAGUAGGUAUACUUGAACAAGGUAAAACAUCAGGAACACAAUCGAGUUCAUAUACACACAAACACUACUCUUCAUGAAGAUAAUACAGGAUACUAGAACGAUAAUGUGAAAAGAAUGUACAAACUACAUAUAUAUACAAGACUACACAACAUCAAGAGGAACAACAACUACCAACGGACACGGUCAUAACAUCAAGGGUUUCAUAUUGUUUUUAUGGUUUUUCUCUCACUAAAGUUAGAAUUAGAGGGAUACGACAAAACGUAAAAGAAACAGCAGUUGGAACAAAUCAAAUCGAAAAAGAACGUAAGUAUUAGUCUUAACACAAUGGAUCGAAAUCGGCUCGUAUUAACGGCAGCGGAUCAGGGACACCUCUUGUGCUGUAGGCAUCGAACCCCGUAUUUUUGGGGCGACAUGAAAGUUAAUUAGUAAAACCGCGGCAACUACUCCUGAUCGCAGCUCGCUAACACAAUCCGAUAUCUGAUCCAAAAAGAAGUAAAAGAUCAAACACGGUAUAUAAACACAAUAUAGAGAUUAGUGAUUGGGGACAAGAUCGAUCAUAGAAAAACAAAAGAAAAGUAAAACGUCCAAUCUCGAUAGAUGAGCCAAUACCGUAUAAUAAGUCUAACAGAACCUCUACGCUCCUUGUGACGUUUGUUGUGCCUUUGAUAAGUUCUUGAGUAUUCUAAAGGGUAGCUAAUCUACUAAAUCGAGCCGUCGCUCUUCAUCAAAAACUCCUAUCCGGAUCGAGAAUACUAGGAAUAAGAUCUCCAGUAGGAAUACAACGAGGAUGUAUGGUAUAAACACCUAAAGUCCCGGUAAGUGGGCGACUUACAGUCGCACCAAUGAGAGUGAGAGGACUAACAAUACCGUACUCGAAGCGGGGUGUCGGAUCGAGUAUGGUUUUGUUAAUGAGUAUACCCACCGGACUCUUGGUCUUAUACAGUAUAUCCUCGUUGUUGGGACUCUAGAGUGGUAAACGAAGAUCAUUAGUAUAUGUCCCUAAAUCCAUGUUACUCCUCUCGGUGUUGAUACGAGCUGUUGUCUAAAUAAGUCGAGGAUGAGUAUAUGGAGUUGUGGUCCUCUACAACGGUUACCUCAAUUUACCAGGAGGUAAACCAGUUGGUUGUUGAGGUCGUUGGCGGCUCGUUAGAGUACACGUUCACGGGUGUGUUCUACUUAAGCCACUGUAUCUGUUCGAGUGUGAAAACUCAGAGCUCAAGUGAACCUCACGACUCCUACUAGGAUAAUCCUUCCAAUAUGAUCUCCUUUACUUCUUCUAGUUCUCACCCUUACUCGAUCACCUACUUCAUUUCUUCUAACUCUUCUUGUAGUUGCGACCGUCAUGAUAAAGAAGUGUCGAACUCGACUCAUUAAGACCCUUAGGGGAACUAUGUACACUCCAAGGUUAUGGUAGUGUAGAUCGACUGGUUCUAUCGUUCACGGAACUCAUUCUCUAUGGAGUCUAACUUCUUCUACUUGACCUUCUGUUCCUUGUUCUACUAGUUCUCGAUGUUAAGGGUUCACUAGUUCAACUUCUGAGUAGUAGAUGAUGAGAACUUCUUCAUGUUCUUCGAUGACAUCUACUUCUACUUCUUCGACUCUAAGUAACCGGAUAACAGUAUGUACUCGCACUACACAGUCCAAGCUCCACUGUAAGGAACCCUGGGGCCACCUAAAUCUCGUACCACUUUUCCUCUUCGUUACCCGUGUAUGUUCCUUCUCUUUUCGACCUCGUACGUGCUCCUAUCUCUCGUACUCCUAUCUCUUCGUUUUCCUCUCCUCAGUGUUACGUUCUCCUACACUCUACUAGCUCGCUCAAGAUGAAGUAUUUCGGACCACAUAUGGUACACGAGACCUAGCCACCAUACAAGGAAACCCCUCCGUUUGUUUUUUUGAUUAUUAACCAGCUCGGCCCAUAUAAGGUACAAGAGCCCUAGCCACCAUACAAGGAAACCACUCUAGCUAUUUUAUAAUAGUAACGAAAUAAAGACAUUUAUUCACUAGACUAGUGUUCACAUACAAGAAAAACAAGAGCCCUAGUACGAGAGAAAUCCUUGGAAGCCGUGUUAGUAGUAAACUUGAUCAACUAGAAGAAAAUAGUAACAUUUUCAAAUUUUACCAGUUCAGAUGAUUAUAGGAUGGUGAAACUUCGUGAGGAUUGGUAAUUAAAAGUGAUCGAUCCAAGUUUCGUACGAAACAAACCUCUAGAUGAAGUGAACCGUAAGAGAUCAGUCGAGUGACAAGUGUUAGAACGAGAACAGUAUAAGGAAACGAACUCCUGUUCGUUUCUAAAUUCACGCCCCCUUGAACUAUCUCGUAAAGGAGUAUAUUAGAAAAAUAGGAAAAACGUGGUGUAACAUUAGUAUAAAAGUGUAAAAAAUGAAGUCUUUAUAAGUUUAUGGGGGUAAUACGAUGUAAAUGUUGUGAGGAGGUACAAAACGUCUUUUCCCGCUUUUCCGGGUUUUAGGAAGAUAUUAUCUCUCACAGUUCUUUGAUACCAACGACAUUGAAUGCCUCCCUGGGUUGGCACUUCUUUUCUUCAUUGGUCUCCCUAGUUCUAUUUCAACCUCCCUAGUAGAACACUUCUCUCUUCUCUUCACCUUCCCGUUUUCUCGUUUUGACCGUCUAGUCUCCUCCCCUAGUUUAGGGAUCGCCGUUGGUAGCUAGGGGAAACCCGGACCGAUGUAUAGGGAGAGGGGGUUGGAAGAAGAGGUGGAGACCGGCAGUGGCGCCGGUCCGGUCGUACCGCCGCACGGUGGGUCAUGGAGGUGGGUGAGGUGUUGCGACGUCGUGGAGGUGGGCGCGAUGGCGUUGGGUAGGUAGGUGGUCCGCGGUAGUGUAGGUCGGUGGUAGUGGAGCGCGCGGGAUGUUCUGAUCUCCAGCACCAACAGACCACGGGGUGCGGUAGGAGGUGGAGAGAAGAAGUUGGACGACGACAAGCGGGAGUUGGGAGAGACGACGAAGAGAGUGGGUCUACGGGGACGACGAGGAAGAGGGUGCAGAACGACGACGAAGAGAAGAGACUGGGGGUAACAACAACGGAAGAGGAGACUUGGGGAUGACAACUAGGAAAAGGAGUUGAGAGAGACGACGAGGAGAGUGCGGGGACGACGAUGAGGAGAGUUUCGGGAGUGCGACGACGAGGAAAAGAAAUGGAGGAUAAGACGCGAAGAAGAGACUUGGGUUUGUCCACGGCGAGGAGAAGAGAGAAAUGAAAAACGUUUAAAGACUUUGAACAUCCACUUGGAACACAUAACAAGGUUUGUGGAUUAAAAACAUUUUAACUCUAUACAUUAUGAAACAUUCCAAGUCUAAAAUUCUCAUGAACGUUGGACGACAAACAAAACAAAGCAUGAACAUUGAUAUCACAUGUAAAUUAUAAGCCAGAUACACUAAAAAGAAAGACUCAAUCAUUAGACGAUCGUACACAAACACAAGUAGGUAUACUUGAACAAGGUAAAACAUCAGGAACACAAUCGAGUUCAUAUACACACAAACACUACUCUUCAUGAAGAUAAUACAGGAUACUAGAACGAUA